GACGAACGCUGGCGGCGUGCUUAACACAUGCAAGUCGAACGGAAAGGCCCUGCUUUUGUGGGGUGCUCGAGUGGCGAACGGGUGAGUAACACGUGAGUAACCUGCCCUUGACUUUGGGAUAACUUCAGGAAACUGGGGCUAAUACCGGAUAGGAGCUCCUGCUGCAUGGUGGGGGUUGGAAAGUUUCGGCGGUUGGGGAUGGACUCGCGGCUUAUCAGCUUGUUGGUGGGGUAGUGGCUUACCAAGGCUUUGACGGGUAGCCGGCCUGAGAGGGUGACCGGCCACAUUGGGACUGAGAUACGGCCCAGACUCCUACGGGAGGCAGCAGUGGGGAAUAUUGCACAAUGGGCGGAAGCCUGAUGCAGCAACGCCGCGUGCGGGAUGACGGCCUGCGGGUUGUAAACCGCUUUCGCCUGGGACGAAGCGUGAGUAACGGUAAUGGGUAAAGAAGCACCGGCUAACUACGUG
rnacentral:rRNA from 1 species